rnacentral:rRNA from 1 species
GACGAACGCUGGCGGCGUGCUUAACACAUGCAAGUCGAACGGAAAGGCCCUGCUUUUGUGGGGUGCUCGAGUGGCGAACGGGUGAGUAACACGUGAGUAACCGGCCCUUGACUUUGGGAUAACUUCAGGAAACGGGGGCUAAGACCGGAUAGGAUCCCCUGCUGCGUGGUGGGGGUUGGAAAGUUUCGGCGGUUGGGGAUGGACUCGCGGCUUAUCAGCUUGUUGGUGGGGUAGUGGCUUACCAAGGCUUUGACGGGUAGCCGGCCUGAGAGGGUGACCGGCCACAUUGGGACUGAGAUAGGGCCCAGACUCCUACGGGAGGCAGCAGUGGGGAAUAUUGCACAAUGGGCGGAAGCCGGAUGCAGCAACGCCGCGUGCGGGAUGACGGCCUUCGGGUUGUAAACCGCUUUCGCCUGUGACGAAGCGUGAGUGACGGUAAUGGGUAAAGAAGCACCGGCUAACUACGUG